GGAUCCAUAGCUCAGUUGGUUAGAGCGCUUCCCUUACAAGGAAGAGGUCGUCGGUUCGAGCCCGUCUGGAUCCA
rnacentral:tRNA from 1 species